rnacentral:rRNA from 1 species
UGGGGAAUAUUGGACAAUGGGCGAAAGCCUGAUCCAGCAAUGCCGCGUGAGUGAAGAAGGCCUUCGGGUUGUAAAGCUCUUUUACCCGGGAAGAUAAUGACUGUACCGGGAGAAUAAGCCCCGGCUAACUCCGUGCCAGCAGCCGCGGUAAUACGGAGGGGGCUAGCGUUGUUCGGAAUUACUGGGCGUAAAGCGCACGUAGGCGGCCAACUAAGUCAGACGUGAAAUCCCCAGGCUCAACCUGGGAACUGCGUCUGAUACUGGAUGGCUUGAAUCCGGGAGAGGGAUGCAGAAUUCCAGGUGUAGCGGUGAAAUGCGUAGAUAUCUGGAGGAAUACCGGUGGCGAAGGCGGCAUCCUGGACCGGCAUUGACGCUGAGGAGCGAAAGCUAGGGGAGCAAA